rnacentral:rRNA from 1 species
GACAGAGGGUGCGAACGUUGUUCGGAAUUACUGGGCGUAAAGCGCAUGUAGGCGGCAGCGCAAGUCGGGCGUGAAAUCCCACGGCUCAACCCGUGGAAGUGCACUCGAAACUGCGCAGCUAGAGUCCUGGAGAGGAAGGUGGAAUGCUUGGUGUAGAGGUGAAAUUCGUAGAUAUCAAGCGGAACACCGGUGGCGAAGGCGGCCUUCUGGACAGUGACUGACGGCUGAGAUGCGAAAGCGUGGGGAGCAAACAGGG